CUGGAGGCAGCAUUCGUUACAUACACACAUUAGUGGGGGAAAUGUUUUUAUUUGGAAAUCAAAUGAGGAGAGAGGUGCCAUAUUCAAGAUUGGAAAUAAAGUGCAUGAUUGAGUGGCUUAGUAGCAUCUGUAUUAGACAGGGUAAAUGUGAGAAGAAGUUUUAAAGUGGACGUUACAUGAUUAGGUGACAGAUGGAAUGUAACUAUCUCAUCCUUCUCAUAUACAAU